rnacentral:lncRNA from 1 species
UAAUUCAUUAAUUAUAUUUUUGUGUUUGACAAGACCUUCGGACUUGUGCCUACGUACCAACAUAAAAAUGAGGGAUCAAAACCUCGUAGUUCGUGGUAACAAUUUCAAAAUGAAUGCAUUGAUUUUAACAAAAAAAUUUAAGUUUAACAAAGGCACAAAAGGCCUAAAAAGGUUUGAAUGAGUGUUAUUUCUUUUUGUCUUUUGAAAUUUUAAGUCAAGUAUAGUUAAGUUCAUUUAUAAAUUUGAUUAAGAAAAGAGUUUGAAAAUGCAAUGGCAUAAGGCCAAAGUUUCUAAUUUGCAAUAAAGUCAAGAUUUGGAAAUCACAAGUAAAGAAUAUUUUUAAAGGAGGGAGAGAUUUGAAAUUAAAGAAGUGGGGAGGAGAUGAAGAGACUAAUCCUAAGAAAAAAUUAAAAGUUAAGAAUUGAAAAGAUCUGACAAGUGGAC